rnacentral:rRNA from 1 species
GGCGGCGAGUGGCGGACGGGUGAGUAAUGCUUGGGAAUCUGCCCAGUAGUGGGGGACAACCCGGGGAAACCCGGGCUAAUACCGCAUACGUCCUACGGGAGAAAGCGGGGGAUCUUCGGACCUCGCGCUAUUGGAUGAGCCCAAGUCGGAUUAGCUAGUUGGUAGGGUAACGGCCUACCAAGGCGACGAUCCGUAGCUGGUCUGAGAGGACGAUCAGCCACACCGGAACUGAGACACGGUCCGGACUCCUACGGGAGGCAGCAGUGGGGAAUAUUGGACAAUGGGCGCAAGCCUGAUCCAGCAAUGCCGCGUGUGUGAAGAAGGCCUGCGGGUUGUAAAGCACUUUCAGCAGGGAAGAACAGCGUGGGGCUAAUAUCCCCGCGUCCUGACGUCACCUGCAGAAGAAGCACCGGCUAACUCCGUGCCAGCAGCCGCGGUAAUACGGAGGGUGCGAGCGUUAAUCGGAAUUACUGGGCGUAAAGCGCACGUAGGCG